CGGUUGAUCCUGCCGGACCUCACUGCUAUCGGGGUGGGACUAAAACAUGCAAGUCGAGNNCCUCCAAGCUAUGGUGAAGGCGCGGCAUACGGCUCAGUAACACGUGGCCAACNUACCCUUGGGACGGAGACACCCCCGGGAAACUGGGGCUAAUCCCCGAUAGGUAAGGAAUCCUGGAAUGGACCCUCACCCAAAAGACGUUGAGUCCAUGCUAUUCAACGUCGCCCAAGGAUGGAGCCGCGACCGAUCAGGUAGUUGGCGAGGCAACGGCUCACCAAGCCUAUAACCGGUACGGGCCGUGAGAGCGGGAGCCCGGAGAUGGGCACUGAGACAAGGGCCCAGGCCCUACGGGGCGCAGCAGUUGCGAAAACUCCGCAAUAUGCGAAAGCGUGACGGGGCUACCCCGAGUGCCGCCCGCUGAGGGCGGCUUUUCCACGGUGUAAGGAGCCGUGGGAAUAAGGAGAGGGCAAGACUGGUGUCAGCCGCCGCGGUAAUACCAGCUCUCCGAGUGGUGAGGACGAUUAUUGGGCUUAAAGCGUUCGUAGCCGGCUUAACAAGUCUUCCGUUAAAUCCAACGAUCUAAUCGUUGGGCCGCGGGAGAUACUGUUGGGCUAGGAGGCGGGAGAAGCCGACGGUAUUCUCGGGGUAGGGGUGAAAUCCUGUAAUCCCGGGAGGACCACCAGUGGCGAAGGCGGUCGGCUAGAACGCGCUCGACGGUGAGGGACGAAAGCUGGGGGAGCGAACCGGAUUAGAAACCCGGGUAGUCCCAGCUGUAAACGAUGCGGGCUAGGUGUUGGGGUGGCCACGAGCCACCUCAGUGCCGCAUGGAAGCAAUUAAGCCCGCCGCCUGGGGAGUACGGCCGCAAGGCUGAAACUUAAAGGAAUUGGCGGGGGAGCAC
rnacentral:rRNA from 1 species